rnacentral:rRNA from 1 species
AUUGAACGCUGGCGGCAGGCCUAACACAUGCAAGUCGAGCGGUUGACGGGAGCUUGCUCCCUGAUUCAGCGGCGGACGGGUGAGUAAUGCCUAGGAAUCUGCCUAUUAGUGGGGGACAACGUUUCGAAAGGAACGCUAAUACCGCAUACGUCCUACGGGAGAAAGCAGGGGACCUUCGGGCCUUGCGCUAAUAGAUGAGCCUAGGUCGGAUUAGCUUGUUGGUGAGGUAAUGGCUCACCAAGGCGACGAUCCGUAACUGGUCUGAGAGGAUGAUCAGUCACACUAGAACUGAGACACGGUCCAGACUCCUACGGGAGGCAGCAGUGGGGAAUAUUGGACAAUGGGCGAAAGCCUGAUCCAGCCAUGCCGCGUGUGUGAGGAAGGUCUUCGGAUUGUAAAGCACUUUAAGUUGGGAGGAAGGGUUGUAGAUUAAUACUCUGCAAUUUUGACGUUACCGACAGAAUAAGCACCGGCUAACUCUGUGCCAGCAGCCGCAGUAAAAC